rnacentral:rRNA from 1 species
AGUGAACGCUGGCGGUAGGCCUAACACAUGCAAGUCGAACGGCAGCACAGUAAGAGCUUGCUCUUACGGGUGGCGAGUGGCGGACGGGUGAGGAAUACAUCGGAAUCUACUUUUUCGUGGGGGAUAACGUAGGGAAACUUACGCUACUACCGCAUACGACCUACGGGUGAAAGCAGGGGAUCUUCGGACCUUGCGCGAUUGAAUGAGCCGAUGUCGGAUUAGCUAGUUGGCGGGGUAAAGGCCCACCAAGGCGACGAUCCGUAGCUGGUCUGAGAGGAUGAUCAGCCACACUCGAACUGAGACACGGUCCAGACUCCUACGGGAGGCAGCAGUGGGGAAUAUUGGACAAUGGGCGCAAGCCUGAUCCAGCCAUACCGCGUGGGUGAAGAAGGCCUUCGGGUUGUAAAGCCCUUUUGUUGGGAAAGAAAAGCAGCAGGUUAAUACCCCGCUGUUCUGACGGUACCCAAAGAAUAAGCACCGGCUAACUUCGUG